GCCCUAGUAACGGCGAGUGAAGCGGCAACAGCUCAAAUUUGAAAUCUGGCCUCCUUUGGGGGUCCGAGUUGUAAUUUGCAGAGGGUGCUUUGGCGUCGGCAGCGGUCUAAGUUCCUUGGAACAGGACAUCACAGAGGGUGAGAAUCCCGUACGUGGUCGCCUGCCUUCGCCGUGUAAAGCCCCUUCGACGAGUCGAGUUGUUUGGGAAUGCAGCUCUAAAUGGGAGGUAAAUUUCUUCUAAAGCUAAAUACCGGCCAGAGACCGAUAGCGCACAAGUAGAGUGAUCGAAAGAUGAAAAGCACUUUGGAAAGAGAGUCAAACAGCACGUGAAAUUGUUGAAAGGGAAGCGCUUGCAGCCAGACUUGCUCGCAGUUGCUCAUCCGGGUCCGCCCGGAGCACUCUUCUGCGAGCAGGCCAGCAUCAGUUUGGGCGACCGGAUAAAGGCCUCUGUCAUGUAUCUUCCUUCGGGAUGACCUUAUAGGGGAGGCGUAAUGCGGCCAGCCCGGACUGAGGUCCGCGCAUCUGCUAGGAUGCUGGCGUAAUGGCUGUAAGCGGCCCGUCUUGAAACACGGAUCAAGGAGUCUAACAUCUAUGCGAGUGUUUGGGUGUCAAGCCCGGGCGCGUAAUGAAAGUGAACGGAGGUGGGAACCCUCUUCGGGGGGUGCACCAUCGACCGAUCCUGAUGUCUUCGGAUGGAUUUGAGUAAGAGCAUAGCUGUUGGGACCCGAAAGAUGGUGAACUAUGCUUGAAUAGGGUGAAGCCAGAGGAAACUCUGGUGGAGGCUCGCAGCGGUUCUGACGUGCAAAUCGAUCGUCAAAUUUGGGCAUAGGGGCGAAAGACUAAUCGAACU
rnacentral:rRNA from 1 species